GGGAUAACCGUGGGAAAUCUAGAGCUAAUACAUGUAGUUAAUUGGCGUAUCUUCGGGUACGUCAAAGCAUUUAUUAGAUUAAACCAUCUACUACUCUGUAGUAAGACGAAUCUAGAUAACUUGUCUGAUCGUAUGGCCUCGUGCCGGCGACGUUUCAAUUGAGUUUCUGCCCUAUCAACUUGUUGGUAAGGUAUUGGCUUACCAAGGUUGCAACGGGUAACGGGGAAUCAGGGUUCGAUUCCGGAGAGGGAGCCUGAGAAACGGCUACCACAUCCAAGGAAGGCAACAGGCGCGCAAAUUACCCAAUCUAGACAGUAGGAGGUGGUGAAGAGAAUUACUAAGUGGUGGUUCAAUGAACUACCAACUUGGAAUGGACGUAACUUAAGCAAUUCGUUGAGAAACAACUGGAGGGCAAGUCCUGGUGCCAGCAGCCGCGGUAAUUCCAGCUCCAGUAGUUUGCUUUAAAGUUGUUGCGUUUAAAACGCUCGUAGUUGGAUCAUGCAACAGUGUACGGUAAUCUAUUCAUUAGACCAGAUAUUUCGAGGAGUCGUUGAAAGACGACACUUGUGAUCUGGACUGUGAUAGAUAUAAAAGCUGAACACUGUUAAUUGCGUGUGAGAUGGAUUGUUGACCUUUAGUGAGUCGGUAAUCCUGUCUCGCGGGAUGUGCCUUGAAUAAAACAGAGUGCUUAAAGCAGGUUGAUGCCUGAAUGUUAUAGCAUGGAACGAACAAUAGUGUAUACGUAUGCGAUUUUCAAUAGUGACAGGCCUAUGGCUUGCCACUGUUGGGGGCGCGUACAUCACCCACCAAAAUAUGGCUGUUGGUUCCAUAUACGGUGAUGAUUAAAAGGAGCGGUUGGGGGCAUCGGUAUUUGGCCGCGAGAGGUGAAAUUCUUGGACCGGCCAAGGACUAACAAAUGCAAAGGCACUUGUCUAGACCGUUUCCAUUAAUCAAGAACGAAAGUGGGAGGUUCGAAGACGAUCAGAUACCGUCCUAGUUCCCACUGUAAACUAUGCCGACCUGGGAUCAGUUUAGAGAUGCUACAAGCUCUAAAUUGGUCCCCCUGGGAAACCUCAAGUUUUUCGGUUACGGGGAGAGUAUGGUCGCAAGGCUGAAACUUAAAGGAAUUGACGGAAGGGCACCACCAGGGGUGGAGCCUGCGGCUUAAUUUGACUCAACACGGGGAAACUUACCUGGUCCGGACAUCGAUAGGAUACACAGACCAAUAGAUCUUUGUUGAUGCGAUGAGUGGUGGUGCAUGGCCGUUCUUAGUUCGUGGAGUGAUCUGUCGGCUUUACUGCGGUAACGAACGAGACCACAGUCUCCAUUUAAGAAACAGAAAAAGACAACCUAUUGUUGGGACUAGUCUCACCCAGUAGGUUGUUGUUGGUUAGAGUUGUGGCUAUAUAGCAACGUUGUGGAAGAGCAAUCUUAAAUAGCGAAGCUGUAUGGCUGUGCCUUUUCCUUUCUGUCAAGUAGUAACUGGUUUACACUAGUUGCUGCCUUAUGGAGAGACAACGAGGUAUAAUCAAGCUCGAGAAG
rnacentral:rRNA from 1 species